rnacentral:rRNA from 1 species
GACGAACGCUGGCGGCGUGCUUAACACAUGCAAGUCGAACGAAGUGCUUAAGACAGAUUCCUUCGGGAUGAAGAUUUAAGUAUCUUAGUGGCAAACGGGUGAGUAACGCGUGAGAAACCUGCCUCGUACAAAGGGAUAGCCUCGAGAAAUCGGGAUUAAUACCUUAUGAUACAUAUUAUACGCAUGUAUGAUAUGUUAAAGCGUAAAGCGGUAUGAGAUGGUCUCGCGUCUGAUUAGCUAGUUGGUGAGGUAACGGCCCACCAAGGCGACGAUCAGUAACCCGUCUGAGAGGAUGACCUGUCACACUGGGACUGAGACACGGCCCAGACUCCUACGGGAGGCAGCAGUGGGGAAUAUUGCACAAUGGAGGAAACGCUGAUGCAGCGACGCCGCGUGGAUGAUGAAGGCUUUCGAGUCGUAAAAUCCUGUCCUUAGGGAAGAUAAUGACGGUACCUAAGGAGGAAGCCCCGGCUAACUACGUGCCAGCCGCCGCGGUAA